rnacentral:rRNA from 1 species
UACGAAGGGGCUAGCGUUGCUCGGAAUCACUGGGCGUAAAGGGUGCGUAGGCGGGUCUUUAAGUCAGGGGUGAAAUCCUGGAGCUCAACUCCAGAACUGCCUUUGAUACUGAAGAUCUUGAGUUCGGGAGAGGUGAGUGGAACUGCGAGUGUAGAGGUGAAAUUCGUAGAUAUUCGCAAGAACACCAAGCGGCGAAGGCGGCUCACUGGCCCGAUACCGUGACGCUGAGGCACGAAAAGCGUGGGGGAGCAAACGGG